GCAUGAAUGACUCAACUAAGGGGUAAUAUGGGAAAUCCACAUUUUGCUUCUGAAAAGGUUCUGGAAAGUGUGUGGUCCCCACCCACCCACCAUCUUUCCUAGAUAGUUUAUCCAAAAUUUAAAAACCAUCCAAAAAAUUUGCAAUUAAAUUCUGUAAAAGAGGAGAGAGAAAACCAUAUGUCCAAAAAACCAUUUCUAUUCAAGGAUAAAGAGCAAAUUUAAAACCGCUUAGAAGUUGCCAAUUUCGCAUCGUUUAGGUUUGUCUUUAAGCAAAAUUUGAAGCAUUGUCUGGGUUUGUCUUCAAGCAAAUAAACGGAUUGCAUUUUCGCCCUAAUUUGCUUGCGCCAUUGGAUAUAAUUAGUCAUGUCGGAGCAGUUGAAUGUGACUUCCGUAGGAUGCAGAAGUAAUUGGGGGUGUACCCUUAAGCAGAUAAUGGGGAGUAGAAGUACUCCCGCUGCUUCUUCUAGCAAACAAGCAGAACAAGUAGUGAACAACAAAAGAAAAAUGAAAGCGGCAGUUGUCAUUUUAUAACUUGUACCUACCUAAUUAAUUUGGUAUUUUGGACUUUUGGAGCUAAGCUAUGUGUACUGGUGUAAACAUCCAUAAAGGUGUUUUUUGUGGGUUCUAUUGGUAUUGAAUAUUGCUGUCAUAUGUAGAUAUUUGUCCCUGUUUUAAUGGGGGAACACUAGUGGUGUGCUGCCUCCUCCUUUAAAGAACAAAAGAUAUGGCUAAUUGACUCCAUGUACUCUGACCCUACUAAGGAACAUGAAGCUUUCAUACCGAAAUUGAUUGGUGCGAUGGAGGUGUUGAUUAACACCCAUGACAACAAUUGGGAACAGGGUACUCUUGGAGGGUGGCCUAUUCAAAGCAUUGAAGUUUUUCACCAGUCUGAUCUAUGAGUUCACUACUGCUAUGUACAUUGAAGGAGGUGUUGAUUCCCAGGACAUGGAAUUCUCCCGGGGCGUCGCUUCUUAUUGAGGAUUCGCACUCCGUUUGCAAUGAAAAGCGGGACAACUUAGAUGGAAUAGCAGUUUUAUAGUUUGUGUAGUUUUGGAAUUUGUGUUGGCUAGAUAGACAGUAUGUAGGUUUUUGGUUCAGAAAUUGUCUGGAAUUUGUGUUGGCUAGAUAGAUAGACAUUAUGUUUGGAAUUUGUGUUGGCUAGACAUACAUUUAUUUUGGUUCAGGAAGAAAGGAGAUGGGAUACCACAUCUUCCCAAUCCUUUUUGUAAUGGUAUCACAAUUGCUGCUACUAUGAUACCAUUUGUACUAAAGUUGCUUUCAAAUAUAUUUGUUUAUUUUGUGCUAA